rnacentral:rRNA from 1 species
GGAAAGGACAUCAACCGAGACUCCGGACGUAGUGGAGAGCGAACCCGGACCAGGCCAGUGGCGAUUGAGAGACAAGCGGAACCUUCUGGAAAGUAGGGCCAUAGCGGGUGACAGCCCCGUACGCGUAAUGCGAUCAAUCGUCCUCGAGUAAGGCGGGACACGUGAAAUCCUGUCUGAAAUUGGGAGGACCACCUUCCAAGCCUAAGUACUCGUGCAUGACCGAUAGCGAACUAGUACCGUGAGGGAAAGGUGAAAAGCACCCCGACAAGGGGAGUGAAAGAGUACCUGAAACCGAUUGCCUACAAACAGUG